GUCGAACGGUAACAUUUCUAGCUUGCUAGAAGAUGACGAGUGGCGCACGGGUGAGUAACGCGUAUACAAUCUACCUUUUACAGGGGGAUAGCCUUUAGAAAUGAAGAUUAAUAUCCCAUAGUAAGUUAUUGUUGCAUGAUGAUAACUUUAAAGCUUCGGCGGUAAAAGAUGAGUAUGCGUUCUAUUAGUUAGUUGGUGUGGUAACGGCACACCAAGACUACGAUAGAUAGGGGCCCUGAGAGGGGGAUCCCCCACACUGGUACUGAGACACGGACCAGACUCCUACGGGAGGCAGCAGUGAGGAAUAUUGGACAAUGGGCGAGAGCCUGAUCCAGCCAUGCCGCGUGCAGGAAGACUGCCCUAUGGGUUGUAAACUGCUUUUAUACAGGAAGAAACCUUUUCACGUGUGAAAAGCUGACGGUACUGUAAGAAUAAGGAUCGGCUAACUCCGUGCCAGCAGCCGCGGUAAUACGGAGGAUCCAAGCGUUAUCCGGAAUCAUUGGGUUUAAAGGGUCCGUAGGUGGAUAAUUAAGUCAGGGGUGAAAGUUUGCAGCUCAACUGUAAAAUUGCCUUUGAUACUGGUUAUCUUGAAUUAUUGUGAAGUGGUUAGAAUAUGUAGUGUAGCGGUGAAAUGCAUAGAUAUUACAUAGAAUACCAAUUGCGAAGGCAGAUCACUAACAAUAUAUUGACACUGAUGGACGAAAGCGUGGGGAGCGAACAGGAUUAGAUACCCUGGUAGUCCACGCCGUAAACGAUGGAUACUAGCUGUUCGGUUUUCGGACUGAGUGGCUAAGCGAAAGUGAUAA
rnacentral:rRNA from 1 species